rnacentral:lncRNA from 1 species
AAUAAGGUAGCUCCCAAAAUAUAGAGUUCUUCUUCCACAUGGGUUCACAUUCGUUAUCAUCGUUCAGAACAGAUUCGCUACCAAGACCCAUUCCAAAGACUUCCCUUACAUCCUUUAUCAUCUCAAAUACACACUUUCCGUUACGGUAUGCAUGUUUUUUAUGAUGGUCUGCCACCCCUUUGAAAUGCAACCCUUUCUUUCUUACACCUCCUAUAGUGUUUCAAAUACAUGCUAUCUGUUUCAUCUAAACAGUGGAUGCAGGCCCGAUAUCCCUUGUUUGUCUGUCCUAAAAGGUUACUCAAUGUAGGCCAAUCAUUGAUGGUUACGAACAACAAUGCUCAUAGGUCAAACCUCUUUUGUUUAUCCUCAUCCCACAUAUAUACACCUUUUUCAUUCCAGAGCAGUAGCAGUUCUUCAACCAACGGUCUUAGAUACACAUCAAUGUUGUUGCUGGGUUAUUUUUGACCUUGGAUAAGCACCAGCAUCAUAAUGAACUUCUUCUUCAUGCACAGCCAAUGAGGAAGGUUGAACCUACAUAGGGUUACAGGCCAAGUACUAUGACCACCACUCAACUCACCAAAUGGAUUGAAAUCAUCCGUACUUAAACCAAACCUUAUGUUCCCUGCAUCUCUUUCAAAGUUCGAAAAUUCUCUAUCAGCUGAUGUCCACUGGGCCCCAUAAGCGGUGGUCUCAGCAUCUCAUCUUGCUUACAUUAUUCUUUCUUCCAUCGCAUCAACUUAGCAUUCGCCUUGUUUCUGAACAAAUGCUUCAAAUGAGGAAUUAUAGGGAAAUAACACAUCACCUUAGUAGGAACUCUCUUCUUGGGAGGCUGCCCCUCGACAUCACUAGGAUCUUCUCACCUGAUCUUAUACCG